rnacentral:rRNA from 1 species
CUCCUUUGACGUUAGCGGCGGACGGGUGAGUAACACGUGGGUAACCUACCUAUAAGACUGGGAUAACUUCGGGAAACCGGAGCUAAUACCGGAUAAUAUUUCGAACCGCAUGGUUCGAUAGUGAAAGGUGGUUUUGCUAUCACUUAUAGAUGGACCCGCGCCGUAUUAGCUAGUUGGUAAGGUAACGGCUUACCAAGGCGACGAUACGUAGCCGACCUGAGAGGGUGAUCGGCCACACUGGAACUGAGACACGGUCCAGACUCCUACGGGAGGCAGCAGAG